GGUGAUUGUAGUUCAGUUGGUUAGAACGCCUGAUUGUGGUUCAGGAGGUCGCCGGUUCGAAUCCGGUCUUUCACCC
rnacentral:tRNA from 2 species